rnacentral:lncRNA from 1 species
GGCUCGAUGAGUCCCCAGCCCACUCUUGCUUGCUUCUUGAGACAAGGUUGUUCUGCAUCUCUAAUGAGGAGAACUCACUAAAGAUGCACCUUAGCGGGAAAAGCUCAGACUCUGGAGUCAGACAGACCUCAGCCAAUAACUAAAGCUCCCUGGAGCUCCAUGUUCCCAUCUGUGAAUUGGGAAUAACAAUCCUGACCACGAGAGAUCUGCAGGUCAGUGCCCAGCUAGUGCUGGUACUCCGUGCCCCCUCUUGGGGCUUGGUUGCCCCCAGUCAGGCCUGCUCAAUUCUCAGAGGGUAGAGGCUGGGAAUCCUGUUCCUCCUGAGUCUUCCUGGGUCUCAGCUCUUUGGUCACCAUCAUUAUAGAGAACAAGGAGCAAAGAAAAGAGGGAAGACCAGGAAGAAAUGAAAGAUGGCUUUGAAGAGAACUGUGUGGCACCAGGGGACUGUCUAGCCAGGACCUGGGGGGGUGGGGCAGAAGAGGCCCUAUGUCCAGUGAGCUGAGCCCUUCCUGAGCUGCAGACCGGGCGCUGGCCUGAAGGUGCUGUUGAGGACAGCACGAUGAGGGCUGGCCCCUCCCUGCCCCCUCCCCCUCUCUGCUGAGCCUUGCAGGAUAAGUGUGUGCAAAGCUGCCGGGAGCCACCAGGCCGGCUCAGGUUUCUCCAUCAGUCCUGGGCCCCCCCCCCCCAGACAACUCAAAACCUCCUUGAACCUCCCUUCCCAAAUCUGAGAACUGGGGACCAUGACACCUCCCUCAUGGGUCCCUUGGGGGUUCAGGUGCCACCUUGAAUAUGUGUACAGAGCACCUGGCCCAGGAAGUGCCUCAAGAAAGGACCUGGCUGCCUUGGGUUCCUGGCUGCCCCCGUCCCCACCUGCUGCCCAGAUGUUCCCUGGGGGUCAGCACCAGGCUCCAGGCCCCGACCAUCCGCCACACAGGGCGGGAGAGGAGUGAGGCACUUACCGGUCACACACAGGGUGGACUCCCUCACACAGCCUCUACACUCACACACUCUGCUUACACACGCACAAAUACACACCCAGGCGCCUCACCCACUCAGCUUACACCUCUUACACCGACACUUGUGCAC